UGAGUUCAGGAAGUAGCUGCUGUAAAAGGAGAUUUUCUGGUACCAGCUGAGGAGCAUUUGUGGAGGAAUCAUGGAAGGUGUUUUUGUGGGGUGGCAGUUGACUUAGGAAGGUCACAGGGAAGAGGAAAGAGUGGUUGCUAAUGUCUAAUUUAGAUUUUGGUCUUUUUAGAGAGAGGAGGUGUAUGGACUGAUUCAGAUUUCUUCUGAAGGCAAGCAGUGACGAGGAAGUCAGAAGUUAAGAUAGUGAUAUUCCCAGAUAUUCCUCAAACCAGGGUUCAGAGUCUCCUCCUGGUGGGGUCAUGGAUUUAUACCUAUCUGAUGGUUUUGGAUGUGACCAGCAGCUGCAGAUCUCAAGAAGAUAUGUGGUGCAUCUUUUGCAAAGAUCAGGUUUGAUUGUAUCCAUAUCCUUUGAUGGAGGGAAAUGACCAUUAAAAAAUAAUUCCCCUUGUGAUGUUAUCCAGCAUGAUUAUAGAAAGUUCUGAUCUUAAAAAGGAAAAAGAACACAUAAAAAGUAAGAUAUUUGGGGCAUUUUUUUUCAAUGAUAACACAGGCUAAAUAUGUCUUCUUUCAUCAGUCAUGUAACUAUUGUUAAAAAAAAUGAAAAGAACUGGCAUCCUUUUAUUGUGAAGAAGGAGUAGUAUUUACUGGGGAAAAAAUGCUACUCAAAUGUAGUCAUUUAUUGCUUCAUCUUUGGAUUCACUAACAUUUCCACUUAUACAGUGUGGAGAAUCCUAUUAUUUGGGCCAUGUGGGAUACAGGAUUUGAUAAACAGUUUCCACUGACUGUUGAAAGAACUCUGCUUUUUGACUGCUGUGAUAUUUGUCUUAGCCAACAAUGAUGGAUACCAUUACAUAUCUUAAGUGUAAUAUUAGGACACAACUUCCUGUGAAGUAUAAACUUCAAAGGCAUCAUUGAUUCAUAUGUGCACAUAGUCAUGUGUUCUUUAAAAUUCCCUAUAAUCUAAAAAUUAUGGUGGCUCAUACACUAAAGCAAUAAAGAAUAAAAUGGCAAGGAUGUUUUCCUAUGA
rnacentral:lncRNA from 1 species